rnacentral:rRNA from 1 species
GUGGGGAAUAUUCCGCAAUGGACGAAAGUCUCACGGAGCAACGCCGCGUGAGUGAUGAAGGUUUUCGGACUGUAAAGCUCUGUUGUUUAGGACGAAAGUGCCUGUUGCAAAUAGUUACAGGUAUUGACGGUACUGAACGAGGAAGCCACGGCUAACUACGUGCCAGCAGCCGCGGUAAUACGUAGGUGGCAAGCGUUGUCCGGAAUUAUUGGGCGUAAAGAGCAUGUAGGCGGGAAUCUAAGUCUGUUGUGAAAAUGCGGGGCUCAACCCCGUAUUGCGAUGGAAACUGGGUUUCUUGAGUGCAGGAGAGGAAAGGGGAAUUCCCAGUGUAGCGGUGAAAUGCGUAGAUAUUGGGAGGAACACCAGUGGCGAAGGCGCCUUUCUGGACUGUGUCUGACGCUGAGAUGCGAAAGCCAGGGUAGCGAACGGGAUUAGAAACCCCUGUAGUCC